UACAGAGGGUGCGAGCGUUAAUCGGAAUUACUGGGCGUAAAGGGUGCGUAGGCGGUGAGAUGUGUGGAAUGUGAAAGCCCUGGGCUUAACCUAGGAAGUGCAUACCAAACUAUCUGCACUAGAGUAUAUGAGAGGGUGGCGGAAUUUCCGGUGUAGCGGUGAAAUGCGUAGAGAUCGGAAGGAACGUCAAUGGCGAAGGCAGCCACCUGGCAUAAUACUGACGCUGAGGCACGAAAGCGUGGGGAGCGAACAGG
rnacentral:rRNA from 1 species